GAUGAACGCUGGCGGCGUGCCUAAUACAUGCAAGUCGAGCGAACAGACGAGGAGCUUGCUCCUCUGACGUUAGCGGCGGACGGGUGAGUAACACGUGGAUAACCUACCUAUAAGACUGGGAUAACUUCGGGAAACCGGAGCUAAUACCGGAUAAUAUAUUGAACCGCAUGGUUCAAUAGUGAAAGACGGUUUUGCUGUCACUUAUAGAUGGAUCCGCGCCGCAUUAGCUAGUUGGUAAGGUAACGGCUUACCAAGGCAACGAUGCGUAACCGGACUGAGAGGGGGAUUCGGCACACCGUAACUUAGGCAACGUCCACACCCCCAAGGGAAGCCAGAGGAAGGGAAUCUUCCGAAAUGGGCAAAACCUGAACGGACCAAGCCAGGGAAGGUAAGGAAGUCUUCCGAUUCGUAAAACCUGUUUAUUGGGAAAGAACAAAUUUGUAAGAAACAAUACACGUCUGGCGGUAACCGAAUCAAAAACCACGGCUUACUACGUG
rnacentral:rRNA from 1 species